CAGUGGGCGGUAUCUUAUCCUUAUAGAGGAACUUGACCAGUGAUCGAUAGUCCCCGUUUUAUCUUACUUUUAUUAAUGUUUGUAUACCGUUGUUGUUAGAUUACCUUGCAUAGUUAGUGAGUUUUCUUAAUAGAUACAGCUUAGCUGUAUCUUUUACUUCAAAUCAAGGUGCAGUUUAUGUAGAAGUUGAGUUGAGUUACUUUGUUUAAGAAACUGGAGGGUAAUAUGAAAUUUUGCUUGAAAUAGGAUUUAUUAGUAAGUUAAUAGUAAUUAGAUUAGCUGAAAAGGGGUC
rnacentral:rRNA from 1 species